rnacentral:rRNA from 1 species
GACGAACGCUGGCGGCGUGCUUAACACAUGCAAGUCGAACGGAAAGGCCCUGCUUUUGUGGGGUGCUCGAGUGGCGAACGGGUGAGUAACACGUGAGUAACCUGCCCUUGACUUUGGGAUAACUUCAGGAAACUGGGGCUAAUACCGGAUAGGAGCUCCUGCUGCAUGGUGGGGGUUGGAAAGUUUCGGCGGUUGGGGAUGGACUCGCGGCUUAUCAGCUUGUUGGUGGGGUAGUGGCUUACCAAGGCUUUGACGGGUAGCCGGCCUGAGAGGGUGGCCGGCCACAUUGGGCCUGAGAUACGGCCCAGACUCCUACGUGAGGCAGCAGUGGGGAAUAUUGCACAAUGGGCGGAAGCCUGAUGCGGCAACGCCGCGUGCGGGAUGACGGCCUUCGGGUUGUAAACCGCUUUCGCCUGUGACGAAGCGUGAGUGACGGUAAUGGGUAAAGAAGCACCGGCUAACUACGUG